AAAUUGAAGAGUUUGAUCAUGGCUCAGAUUGAACGCUGGCGGCAGGCCUAACACAUGCAAGUCGAACGGUAACAGGAAACAGCUUGCUGUUUCGCUGACGAGUGGCGGACGGGUGAGUAAUGUCUGGGAAACUGCCUGAUGGAGGGGGAUAACUACUGGAAACGGUAGCUAAUACCGCAUAAUGUCGCAAGACCAAAGAGGGGGACCUUCGGGCCUCUUGCCAUCGGAUGUGCCCAGAUGGGAUUAGCUUGUUGGUGGGGUAACGGCUCACCAAGGCGACGAUCCCUAGCUGGUCUGAGAGGAUGACCAGCCACACUGGAACUGAGACACGGUCCAGACUCCUACGGGAGGCAGCAGUGGGGAAUAUUGCACAAUGGGCGCAAGCCUGAUGCAGCCAUGCCGCGUGUAUGAAGAAGGCCUUCGGGUUGUAAAGUACUUUCAGCGGGGAGGAAGGGAGUAAAGUUAAUACCUUUGCUCAUUGACGUUACCCGCAGAAGAAGCACCGGCUAACUCCGUGCCAGCAGCCGCGGUAAUACGGAGGGUGCAAGCGUUAAUCGGAAUUACUGGGCGUAAAGCGCACGCAGGCGGUUUGUUAAGUCAGAUGUGAAAUCCCCGGGCUCAACCUGGGAACUGCAUCUGAUACUGGCAAGCUUGAGUCUCGUAGAGGGGGGUAGAAUUCCAGGUGUAGCGGUGAAAUGCGUAGAGAUCUGGAGGAAUACCGGUGGCGAAGGCGGCCCCCUGGACGAAGACUGACGCUCAGGUGCGAAAGCGUGGGGAGCAAACAGGAUUAGAUACCCUGGUAGUCCACGCCGUAAACGAUGUCGACUUGGAGGUUGUGCCCUUGAGGCGUGGCUUCCGGAGCUAACGCGUUAAGUCGACCGCCUGGGGAGUACGGCCGCAAGGUUAAAACUCAAAUGAAUUGACGGGGGCCCGCACAAGCGGUGGAGCAUGUGGUUUAAUUCGAUGCAACGCGAAGAACCUUACCUGGUCUUGACAUCCACGGAAGUUUUCAGAGAUGAGAAUGUGCCUUCGGGAACCGUGAGACAGGUGCUGCAUGGCUGUCGUCAGCUCGUGUUGUGAAAUGUUGGGUUAAGUCCCGCAACGAGCGCAACCCUUAUCCUUUGUUGCCAGCGGUCCGGCCGGGAACUCAAAGGAGACUGCCAGUGAUAAACUGGAGGAAGGUGGGGAUGACGUCAAGUCAUCAUGGCCCUUACGACCAGGGCUACACACGUGCUACAAUGGCGCAUACAAAGAGAAGCGACCUCGCGAGAGCAAGCGGACCUCAUAAAGUGCGUCGUAGUCCGGAUUGGAGUCUGCAACUCGACUCCAUGAAGUCGGAAUCGCUAGUAAUCGUGGAUCAGAAUGCCACGGUGAAUACGUUCCCGGGCCUUGUACACACCGCCCGUCACACCAUGGGAGUGGGUUGCAAAAGAAGUAGGUAGCUUAACCUUCGGGAGGGCGCUUACCACUUUGUGAUUCAUGACUGGGGUGAAGUCGUAACAAGGUAACCGUAGGGGAACCUGCGGUUGGAUCACCUCCUUACCUUAAAGAAGC
rnacentral:rRNA from 2 species